rnacentral:rRNA from 1 species
CCUCGGGUGAGGAAUACUGGCGAGAAAUCGCCAACAAUACCGCAUGUGCUUCUCUCGGGAAGCAAAGCUCCGUAAGGGGCGCCAGAGGAAGAGUCCGCGUCCGAUUAGCCUGUUGGUGGGGUAAUGGCCUACCAAAGCUGCAAUCGGUAGCUGGUCUGAGAGGACGAUCAGCCACACUGGGAUUGAGAACGGCCCAGACUCCUACGGGGGGCAGCAGUGAGGAAUUUUCGUCAAUGGGGGCAACCCUGAACGAGCAACGCCGCGUGCAGGAAGAAGGUCUUCGGAUCGUAAACUGCUUUUCUUGGGGACGAGUAAGGACGGUACCCAAGGAAUCAGCCCCGGCUAACUACGUGCCAGCAGCCGCGGUAAUACGUAGGGGGCAAGCGUUGUCCGGAUUUAUUGGGCGUAAAGCGUCCGCAGGCGGUCAAUCAAGUUCGUGGUGACAGUCUCCAGCUCAACUGGGGAAGGCCCAUGAAGACUGGUUGACUUGAGGGCUUCAGAGGGACAUGGAAUUCCGGGUGGAGUGGUGAAAUGCGUAGAGAUCCGGAGGAACACCAAAGGCGCAGGCAGUGUCCUGGGAAGUACCUGACGCUCAGGGACGAAAGCUAGGGGAGCGAACGGGAUUAGAUACCCCGGUAGUCCUAGCCGUAAACGAUGACCACCAGGCGUGGGAGGUAUCGACCCCUUCCGUGCCGUCGUUCACACUUUGAGUGGUCCGCCUGGGGAGUACGGUCGCAAGAUUAAAACUCAAAGGAAUUGACGGGGACCCGCACAAGCAGCGGAGCGUGUGGUUUAAUUCGAUGCAAC